rnacentral:tRNA from 12 species
AGUCUAGAAGCAAUGUUCUCUGCGCUACGAUCAACUCAAACCAUUUCCCAGUCAACAGGUUAGCUCCAAAGAAGACUCGGUAAGCCACUCUAAGGCUCCACAGCAGAAUCUAACCUAUACCUCACAGACUCAUCAGUCCAGCUCCACAGUGCUCAGAACAACUCUACAAGCAUCAAGAGAGACACAUCAGAGAGAAAAGGGUUCGCUCCCGCGUGCGACAAAGAAGCUUCAGACAGAUCACAAUGUAUAUACACACACAAAUGGUAACUAUUCUCCUUUGUUUAUCUUAUUUACUGUCUUCGCACCGUCCGGAGGCUUGCGGGAGAAUCACUGAAAAAGUAUCUUUCCCAAUUCACCUGUAAACAGAGAGUAGCAUUAUUCGAGGUAUUAAGUAUAUUACAAACAAAAGUUGAGCGUAAAUACCAGAGGGAAAUACGAAUAAAAGCGCAACGUGAAUAAUAUUUCGAAAAGGAUUUUAUUCUCGAUUAUGUCAUAUUCUUCGUUCAACGUCGAAUUCUUUUGCAAUAUUUUUUUUUAGUCUUUUUUGAAUGUUCUUUAUACUCGGCAUUUCUGCAAAAAUAUAAACGUGAAAAUCAAACAAUUCAUAUAUCCGCGUACGCUUUAAUCGCACUAUUCGACGUACUUUAUAAGGUAUAUAUGUAACCGCUAUCGUCGUAUCGCAGUAAACGAAUCGAAUAGAUAAAGAUUGUGUUUUUUUCAUAAUUCGACUUUCCGCGGAGUAUACAACGAUUUCUUUAAAACAAACAGCGCCACCAAAUUUACUCGACUCUAUCAGGCGGAGAAAACAACAAUUGGAUUAUUACACACGCGUUCGAUAUACAUUUUUGGCUUGCUGCGGUAUAUAUUAUCCAUUCGUUUCGUUUACUUGACAAAAAGAAAUCAUGAACUCUUAUCUUUAUUUACAAAUUGUACACGCUUUUUAAUUUUUUAUGUACACGGUCGGCUCGCUACCUGUUAUACUAUACAAUAGAGGAUCACUUAUCGUUCAUUUUUGUCGACAAUUAUAGAUUCAGGAUAUUAUAUCGAUCUGAUCGAUGAAUCGUACUUCUAUGAAACUAUGCUGUUAAGCUCGGGUGACGUGAAAGCUGUUUUUCUGUAAUCAGACGUGUGACAGUUAUUUUUGAUUAGGAGCUAUCCGCAAGUAAAGAGUGACAAGGUAAAGGCGUAGAAAAAAUUCAAUGUAUAUAAAGUGGACUAAUAAAAAAUAAAACUCAUCGUUAAAACGAAUCGUUCGGCGAUUGGUUGCGAUCAACUUUCACAUCCCUUCACAACAGCACCUUAUACACUAUUUACAGUAGCUCGUCUCUGACACAAAAAGACUAGUUUAUUGACACGCCAUACACGCGAUUACAUUAUUAUGCAUAAUUAAAUAUACUCGUUAUUGGAAAACGACGCUCUCGUCGUCGCUGAGUUAUACCCGUCGGAAAUUUUUUGUAAAUUUAUAGAAAAAUUCAUCCUCUCCUCGUCGUCGGUCGCAGAAAACUUUUAAAAAUUCAUUUAAUUAUGCAUUCACAAUAAGAAAAAAAGCUUUCGCGCGAUUUUAUGCUCCGGUGAACACAGCUCUUAUCGAAUCACUUAUUCUGCUUUUCGCUUUCCUCGCUUCUUCUCAUUCGCGAAGCGAAAGGUUCGAAACUGAUUAUUUAGCGGCGCGACUCAAGAGUGUCCACUUGACUCUUUUUGUUUUUAUUUUAUCGUAUACACAUAUAAAUAAGUAUACGCGUAGGUAUACAGAGUGUGAAUCGGGCGAUCUUAUUGUUAUAGUUUUCUUCGGUACAGCAUAUACUAGUUUCUUGUUAAAAUCAAUUUCAAUCGAAUCUGAUGACUCUGUCGCUCGUUAUCGGCUUUGCAUUUUUAAUAGACUCUAGGCGAUGCAAACAGCUUGCUCGAAGUCAAGAGGCUAUAUUUAACUAUGAAUUAAAUAAUAAAGUCGAUUGUUCAAAUCAAUGUGCGAGCGUCGCCGAAAAUAAAUUGGAAUAUCAAAUUCGGUUGACAUUGCAUUGGAAUUGCUAAUUUUUUUACGAUUUUUUAGCAUAAAUUAAUAAAGUACGCUGCAUGCUCUAGCUUGUUGUGGUGAAAAUAUUACUGUCAAAUGAUUUUGAAAAUAUAAGUCUCGCAUAAAGAAUAGAGAACGAAAAAUAAUUUAGAAAAUAAUGUAACAAAAAAUAUAUCCACAUACCGAUUAAAACUGUUUAAAUCAUUACAUUUAUUUACAUAUUUUCACAAUUGCUACAUAUUUUAAAGUUUAAAAAUGUACAAUAUUUUACACAAUUCGUUAUUUUUUCAAAAGUAUUCUAUUUAAAUAUUUCCACCAGGAAUACACAAAUAUUUCGUGUGGUUGGGUACUUGCACAAUUUGUUUCCGUUUUUCAUUUCAUUUAUAAUUCGCUAUUUUUAUUCUCGUCUUUAUAAGAUGCGAUUGUUUUAACAUCGCUUCAUUACACAGUAUUAAUUCAAUGAUUCUCAUAUGCAAGUUCCCAAGUUGAUCAACUUCAUUAUGUAUAAUAGGAUAAUAAUUAUAAUGCAUUUCCUAAAAACAAUAACAACCAUGUAAUAAUAGUAAUCAUAAUAUAAUAAUAAUAAUAAUAAUAAUAAUAGUAUCAACCAAUUUUCAAGUACGACUCAUCGAUUGCGUAAAAAUAUUCACUUCGCGACACUUUCCACUUUCGACGCUUUGGGUAAAUUACGAAAUCGCACUUAGUGUUAAAAAGGUGCUCGGCUCAAUAUUUCGUAGCCGAUAAGCGUAUUUAGCUUGUCAUCGUCCACUUCAGGGACUUCACUAAAGUUCUCGUUUCGGAAUCCCUCGUCCCUUUGUUGUGGAUAAGAUCGCCUCUAUAUCCUGACGCAAUGAUUUUUCGCGAAUAGUUUGUUUGAAAACGAAAGUUUUUCAUACCUACAGGACCAUGUAUAUUUUCUGCUCUAAAUCAGAGAUAUGUAUUCGUGCAGUUUUCUAAUGAAAAUCUAUGAUCUGAUUAUAAGAAAUCAAGUAAAUUUGAAAAGUAUGACAACAUCCAUGGCAGUUCUGAAUGAAAAAGUUUUGAAUUUCAAACCACCUGUAGUUUAGUUAUAUCGAGGGAAUCAAGAAUUGCGGCCACCUACAGUUUCGUUACAAAAUGUUUCUGUUUACUUUCUCGCUACACAACGUCCAGAAAAGGCAAGGCAAGGUUGUCUUAUUACCCAGAUGGAAAAAUUUCAUUAGACAUUACUAUUCGAUUGUAAAAAAUGUAAAAUCUCAUGAUAUUUGGAAUAUUUAAGGUUUUCAUUUACAAACACAUCUUUAUACUGUUUCACAGUUUUAUCGAUAUUAAAAAGUACAACUUUUUAAAAAAACUUAUGGAGAAUUACAUCACGACGUAACCUAAAUUCGUGCAAAUCAAAAUACUAUCUAAAGGAAUUUUGCGAAUAUCAAAUUUGUUUCGAGAAAUACUUUAUUUUACUUUUUUGUACACGCAUUUUUCCAUCGUGGUAGUAUUUAUUCAAACUUAAUAAAAGCUUCUCAUUCAAAGCAAAUUCAAUAUCUUUGCGAACAGCUUUUUACGUUCAUGGAUUUAAUUCAAACGUGAAACCUCGUAAAAACGACUGAUUUUUCCAAGUCGAAUCAAUUAAAUGUGCAAUGUUGAUAAAAAUAAAAUAUAAUCAAGAUCUUGAAUAAAAAAAAAAUUUUUUUCGUGUUUCAAAAUAAAAAAAAGGAGAAGCUAUUUCGCAUAGAUAUUACAGAUGAAAGUAACCAAAGUCUAGCGCUGUUUUUCAAUUAAACUUAAAGUUUCCAGAAUACCGAACGGUGAAAUCUUCAUAUGCAGCCUUUGCGGCAUAGUAAAAUGAAUAUAGAAAGAAUUGCACGUUAUUUACAGAAGUUGAUUUUCAACAAUGAUAUUCCACUAUAAACAAUCGUACCAAUCACAUAAUUAAAAAAAAAUUCCAUUUGUCAUUAUUCAAUCAAAUUGUAUAAAAGUACAAAGGAAAUGCAAAUAAUACUCGACGAAAAUUUCUACCGAAAUCGUCGAUCAAGAAAGCUACUGUUCGAAAUCACCGGAAUUGCAAUUUCACCGUUCACGAAGUGCAGCUAAUUUUUUUCGUUUACUUUUAUGAUCAUCAUAUAGAAAAAACAUCAGGCACUGUAGUUAAAACUUUGGUUAGGGACAUUACACUCGCAUUCGUCUGCUCCUUUCUCUCUAAAUUCUCCUCAUCGUAUGUAUGUACAAGAGCACACAAAUCCUAAAGUGUGGAAAUUUUGGCGGUGAGCGAGUGAGAGAUUCGCUUGAGAAGAAUCAAAAUAUGCAACGUUUCGUUAUUUUUCCCAAAUAUUUUAAUUUAGUAAAAUACAUUGUAAAAUACGCAGUAAACCUUUAUCUCCGUCCUUAUUCAUUUACAAAUACACGGCUCAUCGCUUUGCUUUAAGCUUUUGGUUACCUCCUCUCGUACCUAAAGCUACAGGGUUCCUUUUAUUUUACAAAUAACCGACGCGUGGCGUCGUUUAGUCCUGUAUCUAUAUACUCUCGGUAAUCUUUGUCGAAAAGAGAAAAAGAAAAAUGUCGAACGAUCCUUAAAAUUUGAGCUAAUCACUCGGCAGAACCUCGAGUCAACCUGUGUGUGUCCGUUCCUUUCCCGCUCUUUCAACAAAUAUAUAUAUGCAUAUAAUAACAAAAUUUACACAGAGAUUAACGACCCGUUAUACAAUAGUAAUAAUCGCUAUAAUCAUAAGAAUAGUAAUAAUAAUAAUAGUAGUAAUAGUGUAAUAAUUAUUAUCAUCGCGCCCAAUAAUCAGCGCUGUUUUGUAACGUGUAUUACAAGAACGUUCGUCGCGUCGAGAGCCUCUCCGAUCUUCUUUUUAAAAAACGCACGACUCGUUCGCCCAAUGAAAACAAUCAUACGGAAUAAGACACGCGAAGGUAGCAACGAUCCAUUCUCGAUUUUCAAAACAAGAAUAAAUUAGCCAGCGAAAUGUGAAGAAAAAAAAUAAUAGUAAACGAAGCGUCUCUCGGGGUCGAUCAAUAUAAUCCAUAUAUCUAUAUAUAUCUACAGAUCCGCGAGUGUCGCGCGCGGAUUAGGUGAUCUUGGUGGCGCCGUUAUGCCGGUGGCUCUUGUGGGUGAUGACGACGUUCUUGUCUUCCAGCUGGAGCUUCUUCAGGUAGUCCUCGAGCAUACCGGCGAGCUUGCGCCGUUUGAAGCGCAGCGACUCCUUCACGAUGUCGCGCACGAAGGCCAACCGCGUGUCCAGACUGCCGUAGAUCGUCUGCAGGUGUGUGAACAGGGCUGUGAAGUCUGCAAUGUCAAAAACAAAAGUGCGGAUUUUGUCAAAAUGCGAUCGUUGCAAUAAUGAGUGGGAGUGUUUUAUUUUAAAGAUCUACAUCCAUUGCUGGACAUGAAAAAUUGGCAUGAAUUAUUUGAAUCUCCGAUUAUUACAUUUCGGCCGUACCUAUGUAUGAACACAAUAGAGUUUAAAUGUGCCUCUAACCGUUUAUUAUUUCCUACACGCAACGGUUGAAUGUGAAUAACGCUUCUAAUCAAGUCGCGUGCCACAUCCUCACGAUGAUAUAAGGUGAGACAGAACGUUAACACAGUGCAUUAAAACAGAAAAUUGUGACGAUAACGUCGAUAAGAAAAGCGAAAAUAAACACAAAAAGCCUUAUCGCUCGCUAACACGAUACUGUUUUUAAAUAAUAUUAUGCAAGUGUCUUUGUGCACAAUUGCCUGUAAAAAAAUGUUUUUCAGUGGGUUCAGAAUCAAUAAAAACAUAAUACGUCGUCGCACGUAUCACGCUUCUAAGCGCUUCGUGCAAAACUGAGCAAAAAAAAGAACUGUUGGGAGAGGGAGCCAUGUAGUCACGAGGUAUGCGGUGCACAUCCGCCUACCCUAUUUACCGCUUAUACAGCAGCAGCUCUCGACUGCGUGUUUACACUGUUAUUUAGCCGUUUGAAAUAUCAUUUGCAUAACUGCAUAUAUAUGUGAACUUUUCGCGUCACGAAGGGAGUAUCCGGUGUCCUGCUUUACCGACGCCUAACUCUGGGGAAUCAAUUACAGCGACCCGAUUAUAUUUACCGUAGUGCAUAUUAAA